AGCAGAAAUUUUCUAACAGCAUGUACUAGCAAAAUCACGAGAUGAUUGGGAGAGUCUCCAUAUUUCAGAGAAAAAGCAGGAAAAUAUUUAUCUGAAAUAGUAGGAGCUGUGGUGAGACAUGCUGGAACUGUAGCCAGGAAGCGAUGUGGAGAUUGUAGGGGGACAAACAGCAGAGCAGCUAAACAAGAACAACUGUGGUUACCUCACUGCUCUGGCUCUGUGCUGACAGAGGGCACUGGGGAGAGAUCUAUCACUGCUGAUGUUGAGGCUUUGCCGAUAACCUCUGCCCGGGGCUGGGUGAAGCUACAAACGCUGCCCAGUCUUCGGAGGUACAGGACCAGUCUGUCAGGCUGUUGGCACACAACAACAAUUGUUUUAUUGUCAGAGUUAAGUCUACUAGGAAGAUAUCAAGCAGCAGGAGCAGUUUGGCACCAAGCAAAGGAGAGAGGUCUGUUCCUGGCAAUGGCGUGCAGUGUGAUGGAAGGAUGCUUGGUGGCAGUUCCCAUCCAAUGCAAUCAUGGUCAUCUGCAAGGAAUCAGUUUUCAAAGAAGCAUUUGACGGACUGACACCCACUGGAGCCGGGGACAAGAUGAAAUGCUCCGAUUCAAAGCAGAUUAGGACUUGCUGUUCUGGAAAUCAAGUGAGUUUUGAAGAGGCUGAUGAAGCUCAAUUUCAAAACUAUCAAUCUGGUUUUUAAAAUGUGUUGGGAUCCAGACUGGCUAUAGCAAAAUAGAGUUUUACACCAUACAGUGGUCAUCCCUAUUUGACAACGGUGGAAGACUGUGACUGUACAAUAGCUAUUGAUAAUCCUUCUAUAAAGGACUAAUGCCUACUGAGUGACACGGGGCAUUGCUCUCAACACGGGAUAUAUGCUUCCAAGGUACCUGCUCUGCGAGGACCACAGCCAGCUGAGAACUGAAAGCUAUGGGAGAGCGUGGCAUGCUUUGUAGAGAGGGCAACAGUAAGGAGAAAUGCUAAACAUAUUAGACAAAUCAUCUCUUCUUUCAUUGAACAACUCCAGCCAUGACCUCUGAUCCUCUUGGUAAAAGCUGAAUUUAAUUUCUGCUGUCCCCCACCCAAUAUUUCUUGUGCAUUUGCUAUAUAGCUUCCUGCAAUCCCAUUUAUUGCUCUCCAGAGCUCACAGAAUGUUUGCUUCCUGCAAACUUCGAUUUAUAUUUUUGCCAUUAACUGUAGAUACUCUUUUGUUUGCACACUUAGAGAACUUUCAGUAUUAAGUUUCAAUGUGUUAACAUGGAAUAAACUGGAAAG
rnacentral:lncRNA from 1 species